GACGAACCGUGCGAACGUUGUUCGGAUUCACUGGGCUUAAAGGGCGCGUAGGCGGCUUCGCAAGUCCGGGGUGAAAGCCCCCGGCUCAACUGGGGAGGGUCACGCGAUACUGAUCGACUCGAAGGCAGGAGAGGGUAGUGGAAUUCCCGGUGUAGUGGUGAAAUGCGUAGAUAUCGGGAGGAACACCAGUGGCGAAGGCGACUACCUGGCCUGUUCUUGACGCUGAGGCGCGAAAGCUAGGGAGCAACGGG
rnacentral:rRNA from 1 species